rnacentral:rRNA from 1 species
AGUGAAUAGAUACCCGGGUAGUCCACGCCCUAAAACGAUGAGAACUAGCCGUUGGGCCCCUUUAAGGGGUUUAGUGGCGCAGCUAAACGACAUUAAAAGUUCUCCCGCCUGGGGGAGUACGGCCGCAAGGUUAAAACUCAAAUGAAUUAGACGGGGGCCCGGCGCAAGCGGUGGAGCAUGUGGUUUAAUUCGAUGCAACGCGAAGAACCUUACCUGGUCUUGACAUCCUGCGAACUUUCUAGAGAUAGAUCGGUGCCUUCGGGAGCGCGACGAGACGAGGUAGCUGCAUGGCUGUCGUCAGCUCGUGUCGUGAGAUGU